rnacentral:rRNA from 1 species
GAUGAACGCUGGCGGCGUGCCUAAUACAUGCAAGUCGAGCGAACAGACGAGGAGUUUGCUCCUCUGACGUUAGCGGCGGACGGGUGAGUAACACGUGGAUACCCUACCUAUAAGACUGGGAUAACUUCGGGAAACCGGAGCUAAUACCGGAUAAUAUAUUGAACCGCAUGGUUCAAUAGUGAAAGACGGUUUUGCUGUCACUUAUAGAUGGAUCCGCGCCGCAUUAGCUAGUUGGUAAGGUAACGGCUUACCAAGGCAACGAUGCGUAGCCGACCUGAGAGGGUGAUCGGCCACACUGGAACUGAGACACGGUCCAGACUCCUACGGGAGGCAGCAGUAGGGAAUCUUCCGCAAUGGGCGAAAGCUUGACGGAGCAACGCCGCGUGAGUGAUGAAGGUCUUCGGAUCGUAAAACUCUGUUAUUAGGGAAGAACAAAUGUGUAAGUAACUAUGCACGUCUUGACGGUACCUAAUCAGAAAGCCACGGCUAACUACGUG